AUACGUAGGUGACAAGCGUUAUCCGGAUUUACUGGGCGUAAAGGGAGUGUAGGCGGUCUUGCAAGUCAGAAGUGAAAUUCCUGAGCUCAACUCGGGCGCUGCUUCUGAAACUGCAGGACUUGAGUGCUGGAGGGGAUAGCGGAAUUCCUAGUGGAGCGGUAAAAUGCGCAGAUAUUAGGAAGAACACCGGUGGCGAAGGCGUCUAUCUGGACAGUAACUGACGCUGAGGCGCGAAAGCGUGGGGAGCAAACAGGAUUAGAUACCCUGGUAGUCCACGUCGUAAACGAUGAAUACUAGGUGUAGGGGGUAUCGACUCCCUCUGUGCCGCAGUUAACACAAUAAGUAUUCCGCCUGGGGAGUACGGCCGCAAGGUUGAAACUCAAAUGAAUUGGCGGG
rnacentral:rRNA from 1 species